GACGAACGCUGGCGGCGUGCUUAACACAUGCAAGUCGAGCGGUAAGGCCCUUUCGGGGGUACACGAGCGGCGAACGGGUGAGUAACACGUGGGUGACCUGCCCUUAGCUCUGGGAUAAGCCUGGGAAACUGGGUCUAAUACCGGAUAUGACUCCAUGACGCAUGUUGUGGGGUGGAAAGCCUUGUGCGGCUAGGGAUGGGCCCGCGGCCUAUCAGCUUGUUGGUGGGGUGAUGGCCACCAAGGCGACGACGGGUAGCCGGCCUGAGAGGGCGACCGGCCACACUGGGACUGAGACACGGCCCAGACUCCUACGGGAGGCAGCAGUGGGGAAUCUUGCGCAAUGGGCGAAGGCCUGACGCAGCGACGCCGCGUGGGGAUGACGGCCU
rnacentral:rRNA from 1 species